GAUAGUUGGAUGAUCGCUGUUUCGCUCGACGAAAUAGAGGAAAGUCCGGGCUCCACGGAAAAACGGUGUCGGUUAACGGCCGACGAAGGCGACUUUAGGGAAAGUGCCACAGAAAACAAACCGCUUGCCGGCUAAAUCAAAAGAUUUUAGUGCAAGUAAGGGCGAAACGGUGCGGUAAGAGCGCACCGCGUUUCUGGUAACAGAAAUGGCAGGGUAAACCCCACCGGGAGCAAAACCUAAUAGGGAUGACUGACUUUAUAAAAAAAGUCAGGGGUUUUCCGCCCCGUCAUCCGGGUUGGUUGCGUGAGGCAAGAUGUGAAUCUUGUCCAAGACGAAUGAUCAUCACUAAUUUGUUGUUUAAGUAAUAACAAAUUGGAACAGAACCCGGCUUACAGGCUAUCUGGU
rnacentral:RNase_P_RNA from 1 species